GGGAGCGCACUGGUUUCGACGGGGUUGUUGCAUCUUGAGAAGCGGGUAGAGGAUUCUCGUUGGCCUCUGUAAAAAACGAGAAAAUUUUUAAAUGCCAAAAAACCGGCACUAGCCGCUGCAUAAGCACUGCGGCCGUCAUACCUGAAUAUCUGCCAUCAGGAGUCAUGACGUCAUUUGGCAGACCUUAUCUGCUGGAGGUUAAACAGAGAAACUUUCUAACCCUUGCUUGAUGGUUAGAAUGUAUUUAAAGCUACCGGACCGUCAAGCCUGUCAGUAGGCGUGGCGGAAGGGGAAUACUCCAAGUACUGACUGCACCCGGAGAAACUCAUGGGAAUACGGUUCCGGACAGGGGUUCGACUCCCCUCGCUUCCACCA
rnacentral:tmRNA from 1 species